UGGGGAAUCUUGCGCAAUGGGCGAAAGCCUGACGCAGCAACGCCGCGUGCGGGAAGAAGGCCUUCGGGUUGUAAACCGCUGUCAGGAGGGACGAAGCCACUCAGGUGAAUAGCCGAGAGGGUGACGGUACCUCCACAGGAAGCCCCGGCUAACUACGUGCCAGCAGCCGCGGUAAUACGUAGGGGGCUAGCGUUGUCCGGAAUCAUUGGGCGUAAAGCGCGUGUAGGCGGCUUGCCAAGUCCGAUGUGAAAGCUCGGGGCUCAACCCCGAGUCUGCAUUGGAAACUGGCUUGCUUGAGUGCGGAAGAGGAGACUGGAAUUCCUGGUGUAGCGGUGAAAUGCGCAGAUAUCAGGAAGAACACCGGUGGCGAAGGCGGGUCUCUGGGACGGUACUGACGCUGAGACGCGAAAGCGUGGGGAGCAAACA
rnacentral:rRNA from 1 species